CAGCCACCACGGGAAUACGUAGGUGGCAAGCGUUGUCCGGAAUUAUUGGGCGUAAAGCGAGCGCAGGCGGUUAGAUAAGUCUGAAGUUAAAGGCUGUGGCUUAACCAUAGUAUGCUUUGGAAACUGUUUAACUUGAGUGCAGAAGGGGAGAGUGGAAUUCCAUGUGUAGCGGUGAAAUGCGUAGAUAUAUGGAGGAACACCGGCGGCGAAAGCGGCUCUCUGGUCUGUAACUGACGCUGAGGCUCGAAAGCGUGGGGAGCAAACAGGAUUAGAUACCCCCGUAGUCCCUGUCUCUUAUACC
rnacentral:rRNA from 1 species